rnacentral:rRNA from 1 species
AUUGAACGCUGGCGGCAGGCCUAACACAUGCAAGUCGAACGAGUGGCGGACGGGUGAGUAAUGUCUGUGAAACUGCCUGAUGGCUGGGGUUAACUACUGGAACCGGUAGCUAAUCCCGCAUACCAUCGGAUGUGCCCAGAUUGGAUUAGCUAGUAGGUGGGGUAACGGCUCACCUAGGCGACGAUCCCUAGCUGGUCUGCGAGGAUGACCAGCCACACUGGAACUGAGACACGGUCCAGACUCCUACGGGAGGCAGCAGUGGGGAAUAUUGCACAAUGGGCGAAAGCCUGACGGAGCAAUGCCGCGUGGAUGAAGAAGGCCUUCGGGUUGUAAAGUACUGUCAUCAGGGAAGCGUUACCCGCAGAAGAAGCACCGGCUAACUCCGUGCCAGCAGCCGCGGUAAUUC